UCCAAAAUAUAAGCAGUUGUUAUUAUUACCGGCAAUUUGGCUUUGGUGCCUUAGUAGAGGUGUGCUUCACCUUAGUGAGAAUGGGACCUGGAGGGCCGCCAGGGUGGGGACCACCUCAAGGUCCGGGAGGCCAACCAAUGCCUGGACCUGGAGGGCCGCCAGGGUGGGGUCCUCCUCAAGGUCCAGGAGCCCAACCGAUGCCUGCACCUAGAGGGCCGCCUGGAUGGGGUCCCCCUCAAGGUCCAGUAGGACCCGCCGGUUUCGUUGGUAGUUUUUGCAACUUUAUAGGCUCUUGGUAAAAUGUUCUAUAAACUCUGUUUUUUCACCUUAAUUUUAGACUUCUUCUAAUAUCUGUUAGUUAUGAACGCAAAAAAAGAAAGAAAAGGAAAACAGAACUUUUUAGGUCGAUUAAUUUUGCCUCUAAGUUCUAUAUAUAAUUUUUUUCCCCAUUUUAUUAUUUAAGCUUGAUUCAGUUGUUAUGACAUUUACCUUAAACUUGAUAUUUGCUAUUCUACAGCCUGAGCUUGUUUUGCUGCUGCUGGUUAUUACAAGACUGUUUUGGACGCCCAAUGGGCCCACCCGGGCCUACAGGACCUUAUGGACCACCUCCACCAUGAUCCAAUUGCUUGAUCCAAAACAGGAGAAAUAAAAUGGUCGAAAGUUUAGAGUUGUGAUUAUAGUUGUUUCCUUCUAUUGGAGCAAGCUCUCCUUUUUGCCUCUUGUGGUCUUCCACAUGUAUAAUUCUCCAAAUUCUCUAAUAUUAAGUAGUAGCUAUUUUGACUCACCCUGUAAAAAGUUGAUUUUCAUAAAGACAUUUGUUAUUAG
rnacentral:lncRNA from 1 species